rnacentral:rRNA from 1 species
CGACCGGGUGAGUAACACGUGACUAACCUACCUUCAAGUGGGGGAUAACCUCGGGAAACCGGGGCUAAUACCGCAUAAUAUCUUCGGGAUGAGAAGCCGAAGAUCAAAGGAGCAAUUCGCUGGAAGAGGGAGUCGCGGCUGAUUAGCUAGUUGGCGGGGUAAUGGCCCACCAAGGCUUUGAUCGGUAGCCGGCCUGAGAGGGCGCACGGCCACACUGGAACUGAAACACGGUCCAG